AUUUUUUCCCGCCCAACCAUUUACCGGCGGUAAAGAGCUUAGGGCAGUUACGAAAAUGGCAUCCUUUCCCUCUCCGCGCGGUUGCCGUCUCUCCCUCUUUCCAUCAUUUUCAGACACCGGCCCACUCUGGCGUUGUCUCUCCCACAGCUAUGCCGCCGAGUGGAGUGAAUGAUUGCCCCCAUGCCCCAAAUGACUGCUUCUUGAUGUUGUGUUGUGGUGGUGAGACGUGACUUCUUCUUCUUCUUCUUCUUGAAUCGUGAGUUCAUAAUACAGUCUCACAGACAAGUUCACAAGGGCCAAAGGUCGAUGGUCAAUGCCCCAAUGGACGCUUAAUUUUGGGGUUUGUGGGCACUUGGCAGUGAAAUCAAAGGACGACUGAUCAUCGAUGAGGCCACGAGGGCCAAACCAAUGGGUGAUGGCUGGCCGAUGGUCCAUGGACAUUCACUCGCUCAGGGAGUUACAGAGGUUGAUGAGAUGAGAUGACAUAAAUGAUCGUUGGUGCUUGAUUGUUACUAUUUAUAGAGGAAGUUUAUAUUGUAUCGAUGAACAAAACUGAUGUUUGUCCUAUUGUUCAUCUGUAAAAAUACAAUGGGGUGUUGUAAAAAAUGCUCUUAAUUAGAGCGUAUCAACAGAAAUA